CAGUAGCCACGGUAAUACGAAGGGGGCUAGCGUUAAUCGGAAUUACUGGGCGUAAAGCGUGCGUAGGCGGUGAGUUAAGUCUGCUGUGAAAUCCCCGGGCUCAACCUGGGAAUGGCAGUGGAUACUGGCAAGCUAGAGUGUGUCAGGGGAUGGUGGAAUUCCCGGUGUAGCGGUGAAAUGCGUAGAGAUCGGGAGGAACAUCAGUGGCGAAGGCGGCCAUCUGGGACAACACUGACGCUGAGGCACGAAAGCGUGGGAGCAAACAGGAUUAGAUACCCCCGUAGUCCCUGUCUCUUAUACA
rnacentral:rRNA from 1 species